UCGUUUGCAACCCUAGCAGAAGAGCAGGAGCAGCAGCACUGCAGCAGGCAGUAGCAUAUGGUGACUGUGGAAUGUUGUUGGGCUGUGAGGUGCUGGGUGUGUUGUUUUACUUUACGUUUCUUUCGCCACCCCGUAGUAUUUGCUUUGCGUCAGACCAUGGAAAGUAAGUGCCGUGUACCAGGCUGUACUGGCUGCUACCAAAUUGCCAAAAAGAUAUGUCUUAAAAUUUGCAAAAGACGCCGGACUGAGGAUGAAAUAAACUCUUGCUAUUCCACUCGAGAACUUUCCACUAGAACAUUCUGAGACAGAUUUAUCAAGAAAAGUGAAUUCUGAACGAUUUCGUUCUCCAAAGCACUGCAGUUACGUGGAACGGAGUAACAGUUCCUUUGGAAAAACCUGGAUUGAAAGAAGGUGCCUUGUUGUAUUAGUUACCAAACUGUACCAGUUAUUUGAAUUUUUAGACAAGAUGUGCAACGGGUACCCCAAAUCAAAGAAAACAGGAGAUUGAAGGUGAUGGUUAUGGGUUGAGAAUGACCAUAUCGGAAAGCAUAGAAACAGCUUCUGCAAAAAAGGUGAAAAAUUCGGUUUUCACGGUUAUGGUGAAUUUGCGAGAGAAACUGAAAAUGUUACAGGAAGUGAAGUGAAGUGAGAAAAUAAUAUGUACCGAACGUGUACCUGAAUUUUGAGACAGCUCCACCUGAUAUUAGAUUCAUAACAGUUUGCCCGAGCCUCAGUGUUAAACUGUGUAUUCCCUAGGGACUUAGUAGUGUAAUUAAAGUUCAAAGUGUUUUGAAGUUAUGUAGAGAUUUAAUUAGUGACAGAGAAAUGACUUGCACAAGCCAUUCCUUCCUUCUUGAAAUUUUAGCAGUUACAGAAGCCCCUGAGCCAUGCUCCGCGUCAGCGCCCUGCUGCUACCAUGACCAGGGUGUCAGACAGCUGGAGGAGGUAGCCAGCCGCCGCUAGCGCAGGUCACAGCAGUUCUGCGCUCGCACCGCGCCACCUCCUCGCGCCAGCUCAUAUCCUGGCCCUGGCAGAAACAGCCAAGCGUCUGUCCCCUCAACGACAGGGUAGCAUUCAUCGUCAGCGCCAACGUGACGUAGGCACACGUCGUCAUGAGUUUCACGAGUUGUCCAAUCGACUGUUGUGUGCAUUCUGUAUACAUCGAUUGUUGUGUGCGCCUUGAAUCUGCACUGUUCAUUGUUCUCAGUUGAUUUUACAUGGAGGCAAAAUUAAAUGGAACUAGAUGGUUUAAUAUAUCCAGCAACAUUCGGAAUUACUUCGAACUUCAGUUUCUCAGUUUAACGUUUCUGCUCACAUGAAUUAUGUAUAAUUCAUUGGCUUUUAUAAAAAUACGAAAAACUUUAA